CAGUAGCCGCGGUAAAACGGAGGGUGCAAGCGUUAAUCGGAAUUACUGGGCGUAAAGCGCACGCAGGCGGUCUGACAAGUCAGAUGUGAAAUCCCCGGGCUUAACCUGGGAACUGCAUUUGAAACUGUCAGGCUGGAGUCUUGUAGAGGGGGGUGGAAUUCCAGGUGUAGCGGUGAAAUGCGUAGAGAUCUGGAGGAAUACCGGUGGCGAAGGCGGCCCCCUGGACAAAGACUGACGCUCAGGUGUGAAAGCGUGGGGAGCAAACAGGAUUAGAUACCCCUGUAGUCCCUGUCUCUUAUAC
rnacentral:rRNA from 1 species